GAAAAAUUGAUGACUAAGAAUAGUAGCAAUUGUUUUAUGUUUGAGAGAGUGCAUGGCUGGUGAAAAUGUACCAUAAACAAUUGUGAAUGGGCCUUAGGAGAGCUGUUGGCAUUAGCUUGUCGACGGACGGAAUUCCCCUACGUUAUAAGGGGAUUGAGUGGAAGCAAAUAUGCUUCAAGCUGAGGUGGCAACGCGGUAUUUAUCGUCCUCUAC
rnacentral:ncRNA from 1 species